rnacentral:tRNA from 1 species
GGGGUUGUAGUGUAGCUUGGUAUCACCGGCGGUUCGGGGCCUCCUGACCUGGGUUCGAAUAUCUAAAAGCGAAAUGCUUCGGAUUUGAAAGUCCCAGCAACCCCA